rnacentral:rRNA from 1 species
AGAGUGAACGCUGGCGGCAGGCCUAACACAUGCAAGUCGAACGGCAGCACAAGGGAGCUUGCUCCCUGGGUGGCGAGUGGCGGACGGGUGAGGAAUACGUCGGAAUCUGCCUAUUUGUGGGGGAUAACGUAGGGAAACUUACGCUAAUACCGCAUACGACCCCAUGCCGAGAGGCGCGGGGUGAAAGCGGAGGACCUUCGGGCUUCGCGCAGAUAGAUGAGCCGACGUCGGAUUAGCUAGUUGGCGGGUAACGCCCACCAAGGCGACGAUCCGUAGCUGGUCUGAGAGGAUGAUCAGCCACACUGGAACUGAGACACGGUCCAGACUCCUACGGGAGCAGCAGUGGGAAUAGUGGACAAGUGGGCGCAAGCCUGAUCCAGCCAUGCCGCGUGUGUGAAGAAGGCCGUUCGGGUUGUGAAGUCUAACGUUUUGUACCGGUAAAGUAAAAGUCGUUACGGGUUAACUACCCCGGGUCUAGGACCGGUAACCGGAAGUAAUAAGGACCACCGGACUAACCGUCG